ACCCAAAGAGCGGAAGCACAAAAGAGGAGCAAGAGCAUUCACACAGGUUCAUAUACACAAGAUGAGGAAAAGUUGAUUUGCCAAUGUUGGAUGGAGAUUAGCCAAGAUCCGAAGACCGGCGCGCAACAAAAGGGCCUUGUUUUUUGGACGAGAGUCCACAAAACAUUUCAUGAAAGGAAGAUGUUUGAGCCCUACCAAAUGACAAGCAACCGUGGCAUCACCUCGAUUCAAAAGAGGUGGUUGUUCAUCCAACAAGAGUGUAACAAGUAUUGCUUCGCAUUUGAGAGCAUUGAAGCACGGCCCGUGAGUGGUCUCGGCGUUGGGGACAUGGUAUGCUCUCCUUAUCCUAGUCCUUUUCCUUGCUACGGCCAUGUGAGACUUCGGCCUUGUAUAUGUUUGCAUGUUCAAUUGUUGUUGAUCAUGUGGUGUAGGCAUUUCAAUCUUUGGAAGCAUUCAAGGCCCGACACAAUGACAAGCCAUUCACUCUUACGCAUUGUUGGACGAUCAUCAACAAUUGCCCUAAGUUCAAGGAUCAAUACCGUGAACUUCAAAGAAAGAGAGGCAAGAAGACGACCAAGUUCGCCGGAGGUGGAGAUGACGAGGCGUUGA
rnacentral:rRNA from 1 species